GAGCGGCGGAUGGGUGAGUAACACGUGGGGAACCUGCCCCAUAGUCUGGGAUACCACUUGGAAACAGGUGCUAAUACCGGAUAAGAAAGCAGAUCGCAUGAUCAGCUUAUAAAAGGCGGCGUAAGCUGUCGCUAUGGGAUGGCCCCGCGGUGCAUUAGCUAGUUGGUAAGGUAACGGCUUACCAAGGCAAUGAUGCAUAGCCGAGUUGAGAGACUGAUCGGCCACAUUGGGACUGAGACACGGCCCAAACUCCUACGGGAGGCAGCAGUAGGGAAUCUUCCACAAUGGACGCAAGUCUGAUGGAGCAACGCCGCGUGAGUGAAGAAGGUUUUCGGAUCGUAAAGCUCUGUUGUUGGUGAAGAAGGAUAGAGGUAGUAACUGGCCUUUAUUUGACGGUAAUCAACCAGAAAGUCACGGCUAACUACGUGCCAGCAGCCGCGGUAAUACGUAGGUGGCAAGCGUUGUCCGGAUUUAUUGGGCGUAAAGCGAGCGCAGGCGGAAGAAUAAGUCUGAUGUGAAAGCCCUCGGCUUUACCGAGGAACUGCAUCGGAAACUGUUUUUCUUGAGUGCAGAAGAGGAGAGUGGAAUUCCAUGUGUAGCGGUGGAAUGCGUAGAUAUAUGGAAGAACACCAGUGGCGAAGGCGACUCUCUGGUCUGCAACUGACGCUGAGGCUCGAAAGCAUGGGUAGCGAACAGGAUUAGAUACCCUGGUAGUCCAUGCCGUAAACGAUGAGUGCUAAGUGUUGGGAGGUUUCCGCCUCUCAGUGCUGCAGCUAACGCAUUAAGCACUCCGCCUGGGGAGUACGACCGCAAGGUUGAAACUCAAAGGAAUUGACGGGGGCCCGCACAAGCGGUGGAGCAUGUGGUUUAAUUCGAAGCAACGCGAAGAACCUUACCAGGUCUU
rnacentral:rRNA from 1 species